UACGGAGGGUGCAAGCGUUAUCCGGAUUCACUGGGUUUAAAGGGUGCGUAGGUGGGCUGGUAAGUCAGUGGUGAAAUCUCCGAGCUUAACUCGGAAACUGCCAUUGAUACUAUCAGUCUUGAAUUUUCUGGAGGUAAGCGGAAUAUGUCAUGUAGCGGUGAAAUGCUUAGAUAUGACUUAGAACACCGAUUGCGAAGGCAGCUAACUAAGCAGAUAUUGACGCUGAGGCACGAAAGCGUGGGGAUCAAACAGG
rnacentral:rRNA from 1 species